AAAAUAAUCCUACCUUUGUGAAUUUUGUUUGUUUGAAUAAUUUUUUUUUUUUAAAAAAUUAUUGGAGUCUUUCCCUUUAGAGUUUGCUUUUGAGUUUGUAAAAGAAUUCGAAAACAUCUAAAGGGGAUGGUCAAUAAUUUUUUUUGAAAAAAGACAUUUUUUAAAAUUAAACUUUUUGUAUUCAUUUGUCUAAAAAUUAUUUUUAUAAUAUAAAAACAACUUUUGACAAUGGAUCUCUUGGUUCUCGCAACGAUGAAGAACGCAGCAAAAUGCGAUAAGUAGUGUGAAUUGCAGAAUACGUGAAUCAUCGAAUCUUUGAACGCAUAUUGCACUUUUUUAGUUUACUAAAAAAGUAUGUCUGUUUGAGUAUCAGUAAAAUAUUCUCAUAAAAAUCAUUGUGUAUUUUUAUGGUUAUGAGUGUUUUACAACGAUACAAGUUGUUUCACUUUAAAUUUUUUUUUAAUAUUGAAAUUUUUCUAAUUUUAAUAAUUAAAAUUGGAUAAAAUUUUCCCGUCAAAAGGAAUAACCUAAACAAUUUUAAAUGGUUAAUUUUAGCAAAAUUUUCGUAAAAAAGGAAAAUUUUUAUUAAAAUAACUUGAUCUCAAAUCAGAUAAGAGUACCCGCUGAACUUAAGCAUAUCAAUAAGCGGAGGAAAAGAAACUAACAAGGAUUCCCUUAGUAACGGCGAGUGAAGCGGGAAGAGCUCAAAUUUGAAAUCUUCAAGGUUUUACCUUGACGAAUUGUAGUUUAAAGAAGUGUUUUCUGCUGAAGUUUUGGUAAAAGUUCUUUGGAAUAGGACAUCAUAGAGGGUGAGAAUCCCGUAUUUGACCAUUAUUUUCAGCUUUGUGAUACACUUUCAAAGAGUCGGAUUGUUUGGAAUGCAGUCCAAAAUGGGUGGUAAAUUUCAUCUAAAGCUAAAUAUUGGCGAGAGACCGAUAGCGAACAAGUACCGUGAGGGAAAGAUGAAAAGAACUUUGAAAAGAGAGUUAAACAGUACGUGAAAUUGUCAAAAGGGAAGCGUUUGACACCAGUGUUGUUUUCUCGAAAAUCAAUUAAAAAUGGCUCGAUUUUGUAUUGCUUGAGACCUUAAAAGCUCACUGUACAUUUUUCGUGUCUUUUUUAAUGCACUUUUCGUUUAACAAGUCAACAUCAGUUUCUUUUGUUGUAAAAGGGUCAUUGGAAGGUGGCUUUCUUUUCGGAGAAAGUGUUUAUAGCCUUUGGCCUCUGCAAUCGGAGAGACUGAGGUCUGCAGCGUAGACUCUUCGGGGUUAGAUACAUUUGUGCUAAGUUAUAGCUUUUUAUAGACAACUUGUUGGCUAUAAUUAGUCUUGUAGCUUACUCGCUUAUGCUAUUUUACCU
rnacentral:misc_RNA from 1 species